rnacentral:rRNA from 1 species
AUGCUCCCCGAAUACAUGCAAGCACUCUAUUCCGUCAUGUACAACACGUCCGCUGACGUGGCUGAAAAUGUGUUUAAACAACAUGGUUGCGACACUCGUUAUGUUCUUCGGAAAGCAUGGCGAGACAUGGCAGAGUCUUUCCUGGUGGAGGCAAAGUGGCACCAUGGAAACCACAGACCAACACUGCGUGAGUAUCUUGACAAUGGAUCAAUUUCAUCCUCUGCUCCACUGUUGCUCCAACAUGCAUGUCCCCUGCUCCACGUGGAAGAAAGUCUUACCCCAAUGUCUGUUGCUAAAGUUGGAAGCUACCCUAAAUUAGUUCAGUCCGCAUCAUUAGUUUUUCGCCUCUGCAACGACUCUGCAACCCACUCUGCCGAGCUGGAGCGAGGGGAUGCACCAUCAUCAAUAGCUAUUCACAUGUCGGAGAACAGCUCCAGUGAGCAAGAGUCCCGCGAAGCCAUGGAAGACCUUACUAUGGAAGCGUGGAAGUCGAUUAACGAAGAUGCAUUCAAACACUGCCAAUUUUCUAGAUCUUUUGCCAAGACUUGCGUGAAUUUGGCUCGAAUCUCACAUUGUGUUUACCAAGGUGGGGAUGGUUUUGGUGCGCCGGAUGGUCGGAAGAAAAAGCAAAUUAGGGAGUUGUUCUUGGACUCUUUCAUGAUUGAGGAACAUUAA